rnacentral:rRNA from 1 species
GAGUUUGAUCAUGGCUCAGAACGAACGCUGGCGGCGCGCCUAAUACAUGCAAGUCGAACGAGAAUGUGUAGCAAUACACAUGUACAGUGGCGAACGGGUGAGGAAUACAUGGGUAACCUACCCUCGAGUGGGGAAUAACUAGCCGAAAGGUUAGCUAAUACCGCGUACGCCUCCCGGACUGCGGUUCGGGAGGGAAAGCGAUACCGUGGGUAUCGCGCUCUUGGAUGGGCUCAUGCCCUAUCAGCUUGUUGGUGAGGUAACGGCUCACCAAGGCAUCGACGGGUAGCUGAUCUGAGAGGAUGAUCAGCCACACUGGCACUGCGACACGGGCCAGACUCCUACGGGAGGCAGCAGUAAGGAAUAUUGCGCAAUGGGCGAAAGCCUGACGCAGCGACGCCGCGUGGGGGAUGAAGGUCUUCGGAUUGUAAACCCCUUUCGGGAGGGAAGAUGGGAUGGGGUAACCCAUUCGGACGGUACCUCCAGAAGCAGCCACGGCUAACUUCGUGCCAGCAGCCGCGGUAAUACGAAGGUGGCAAGCGUUGUUCGGAUUUACUGGGCGUACAGGGAGCGUAGGCGGUUCGGUAAGCCCUCCGUGAAAUCUCCAGGCUUAACCUGGAAAGUGCAGAGGGGACUGCUGGGCUAGAGGAUGGGAGAGGAGCGCGGAAUUCCCGGUGUAGCGGUGAAAUGCGUAGAGAUCGGGAGGAAGGCCGGUGGCGAAGGCGGCGCUCUGGAACAUUUCUGACGCUGAGGCUCGAAAGCGUGGGGAGCAAACAGGAUUAGAUACCCUGGUAGUCCACGCCUUAAACGAUGGAUACUAAGUGUCGGCGGGUUACCGCCGGUGCCGCAGCUAACGCAUUAAGUAUCCCGCCUGGGAAGUACGGCCGCAAGGUUGAAACUCAAAUGAAUUGACGGGG